CCUUCCAUGCAAGUCGAACGGCAGCGCGGGAGCAAUCCUGGCGGCGAGUGGCGAACGGGUGAGUAAUACAUCGGAACGUGCCCAAUCGUGGGGGAUAACGCAGCGAAAGCUGUGCUAAUACCGCAUACGAUCUACGGAUGAAAGCAGGGGAUCGCAAGACCUUGCGCGAAUGGAGCGGCCGAUGGCAGAUUAGGUAGUUGGUGAGGUAAAGGCUCACCAAGCCUUCGAUCUGUAGCUGGUCUGAGAGGACGACCAGCCACACUGGGACUGAGACACGGCCCAGACUCCUACGGGAGGCAGCAGUGGGGAAUUUUGGACAAUGGGCGAAAGCCUGAUCCAGCAAUGCCGCGUGCAGGAUGAAGGCCUUCGGGUUGUAAACUGCUUUUGUACGGAACGAAAAGGCUCUUUCUAAUAAAGAGGGCUCAUGACGGUACCGUAAGAAUAAGCACCGGCUAACUACGUGCCAGCAGCCGCGGUAAUACGUAGGGUGCGAGCGUUAAUCGGAAUUACUGGGCGUAAAGCGUGCGCAGGCGGUGAUGUAAGACAGUUGUGAAAUCCCCGGGCUCAACCUGGGAACUGCAUCUGUGACUGCAUCGCUGGAGUGCGGCAGAGGGGGAUGGAAUUCCGCGUGUAGCAGUGAAAUGCGUAGAUAUGCGGAGGAACACCGAUGGCGAAGGCAAUCCCCUGGGCCUGCACUGACGCUCAUGCACGAAAGCGUGGGGAGCAAACAGGAUUAGAUACCCUGGUAGUCCACGCCCUAAACGAUGUCAACUGGUUGUUGGGUCUUCACUGACUCAGUAACGAAGCUAACGCGUGAAGUUGACCGCCUGGGGAGUAC
rnacentral:rRNA from 1 species